CAAGGGAAGACUGUCUUCCCAAAUCCAUGACCGAUGUCAGAGUUUUUGAGUUCACGGAUAAAAUGUGUUCCUUUGUCUCUACUAGAAAGGAAAGAGAACUGAAAUUGGAAAGAUAGGGAGAUUGAAGGGUAGCAAGAGAGGCUGGAGAAGAGAGCAAAGAGACCGCUUACCUGAGUUGAAAUUGGUGAGAUGUUCCUUGGGCUGGUCUGAGGACCCGAGGUCAUAGGUGGAUCUCUUCAUGAAGUGAGGGUGAGGACAGGGGGCCAAUCUCUCAAAGGAGUCCCCCUGUCCCGGGUUCUUUGGCAUCAAACGUUACGCACAUCCAUGUGAAGAGACCACCUAACCAGGCUUUGUGUGAGCAACAAGGCUGUUUAUUUUCACUUGGGUGCAAGUGGGCUGAGUCCAAAAACAGAGUCAGCAAAGGGAGAUAGGGGUGGGGCAGUUUUAUAGGAUUUGGGUAGGUAGUGGAAAAUUAGUUAAAGGUGGUUAUCUCUUGCGGGCAGGGGUGGGGGUCACAUGGUGCUCGGUGGGGAGCUCCUGAGACUCUUUGUCCAGGGGAGGACUGUCACAAGGUUGAUUCAUUAGUUAGGGUGGGGCAGGAACAAAUCACAAUGGUGGAAUGUCAUCAGUUAAGGCAGGAACUGGCUGUUUCACUUCUUUUGUGGUUCUUCAGUUGCUCCAGGCCAUCUGGAUGUAUACGUGCAGGUCACAGGGGUUAUGAUGGCUUAGCCUGGGCUCAGAGGCCUGACAGUGAGACCAUCUCUAACAAAAAUAAAUAAUUAGCCAGGUGCGGUGGCACACAUCUGUGGUCCCAGCUACUGGGGUGGCUGAGGUAGGAGGAUUGCUUGAGCUCAGGAGGUGGAGGCUGCAGUGAGCUGUGAUCACACUACUGCACUCCAGCCUGGGCAAGAGGGAGACCUUAUCUCAGAAAAACAAACAAAAAACAAUGAUGCACCCUAGUCUUAUUGUGGCAAUCCAGAGAGAGGGUGGGGAGGCAAGCAGAGAUGACAGAAUUGGAAGCUACUCACAUGCCUUAAUGUAACUCCUCACUAAGAUUCUCAAUCUCUAGGAAGGAUUCUAAACUUAUCAAAAGAGCUGAGUUCUGUGACAGGACUAAUGGGGACAAAAUAGAAAAGGUUUGUACAGAUCACAGGAAUCUCAGGCAAGAGAUUAUGAGGUCAUAAACCCAAGGAAUCUGCAGAAAUUGUGUGGAAAGUUUGAACUUUCCCAUCUUGUGGAAUUGGCAAUGCUCUGAGGCAAUCAUACAGAACUCUCUGUGGAUCAGGAGGGUCCUAAUUGGCACCUGGUUUACACAGACAGCAUGUUUCCAAAUCACUCAUCCCCCUUUAGUUCAUCCUCCACACUAGCCCAAGUGCUUUUCCUAAAUAAAGAGUGAAUAUUAUCAUGUCAUUCCCCAGCUUUAAAAUUCCUUAUUGUCCACAAUCCAAAAUUUCUUACCCUGGCAUCCAACACAAGGGCUUCCUCUCCUCCUCACACAGGGCACACUAUCAAACAUUUCAUUAUUUCCUAAAACACUAAGCCUUCCCUUCUGUCUGAAAUAAACUUUCCCUUUCCUCUCUUUUCUCUGCUAUAAACACCUAUUCAUUCAGACCAAAUUCAAUCUUCCUCUGCGUUCCUUGCAGGAAGGACUAUGUCUUUUUUUUUUUUUUUUUUUUUUUGU
rnacentral:lncRNA from 1 species